rnacentral:lncRNA from 1 species
UUCCUAGUAGAAUUACCAAUAUAAACAAAUUCUUAAUACCUAUCAAAUAUAUAGUCAAGCAUGCAAGCAGCUCAGGCAUCAAGAAUGACAUUAGUAGGUACGAUAUGUAUUGUUCGGUGAACUAAGUCUCAAAUCACAAAACUUUCCGUAAACCAACAAGAUAUUUGACAUUAGUAGGUACAUUUACUUGAAUUACUAAUUGGAUUAGAACUCCUGCAAUCCUUUUGAAAACAGAUCAAGUGGAAUAAAUGCUUUUUUUCUUUUCUUUAAGUACGAUACUUAUUGUUCGGUGAAUUAAGUCUCAAAUCACAAAAAUUUCUGUAAACCAACAAGAUAUUUCUGUAAUCUAAAAAAGCAAUCUCAUGCCAAAUUUAGUAAGUGAUAAACCAACAAAGGAGUGUAUUCAAUUGACUCAAAUAAUGGCUUAAUGAAAAAUGUCAAUUUAUAACUGUUGUCAAAAGAUUAGUAAAAGAACAUGUACCAG